GAUGAACGCUGGCGGCGUGCCUAAUACAUGCAAGUCGAGCGAACAGAUGAGGAGCUUGCUCCUCUGACGUUAGCGGCGGACGGGUGAGUAACACGUGGAUAACCUACCUAUAAGACUGGGAUAACUUCGGGAAACCGGAGCUAAUACCGGAUAAUAUAUUGAACCGCAUGGUUCAAUAGUGAAAGACGGUUUUGCUGUCACUUAUAGAUGGAUCCGCGCCGCAUUAGCUAGUUGGUAAGGUAACGGCUUACCAAGGCAACGAUGCGUAGCCGACCUGAGAGGGUGAUCGGCCACACGGAAACAGACACACGGUCCAGACACAGAGGGGAGGAAGCGGUAGGAAAUCUUCCGCACUGGGGAAAAGUUGAAGGAAGCAACGCGGGGGGGGUAAUAAGUGUCUUGGGAUCGAAAAACUUUUUUAUGGGGAAAAAAAAAAUGUGAAAGAAACUAGGCCCGUCUGGAGGGUCCCAAAACAAAAACCCGCGCCUACCUAGGC
rnacentral:rRNA from 1 species